rnacentral:rRNA from 2 species
AGGAUCAUUAUUGAAGUAAACUUGAUAAGUUGUUGCUGGUUCUCUAGGGAGCAUGUGCACACUUGUCAUUUUUAUAUCUUCACCUGUGCACAUUUUGUAGACUUUGGGUAUCUCUCUGAUUGCUUCCUUUUAGCAUUUAGGAUUUAAGGAUUGACUUUUGUCUUUUCUUACAUUUCCAGGUCUAUGUUUCUUCAAAUACCCUGAUGUAUGUUUAAAGAAUGUAAUUAAUAGGCCUUUGUGUCUAUAUGUCCUUACAACUUUCAGCAACGGAUCUCUUGGCUCUCGCAUCGAUGAAGAACGCAGCGAAAUGCGAUAAGUAAUGUGAAUUGCAGAAUUCAGUGAAUCAUCGAAUCUUUGAACGCACCUUGCGCUCCUUGGUAUUCCGAGGAGCAUGCCUGUUUGAGUGUCAUUAAUAUAUCAAUCUCUUUGGUUGGAUGUGGGGUUUGCUGGGCUCUUGAGAUCAGCUUCCCUUAAAUUUAUUAGCAGACAAUGAUUUGCCAAACGCUCAUUGGUGUGAUAAUUAUCUACGCUAUUGACGUGAAGCAAGUUCCGCUUCUAACUGUCCAUUGACUUGGACAAAUUUAUUAAUGUGACCUCAAAUCAGGUAGGACUACCCGCUGAACUUAA